ensembl:snoRNA
CUCUUCUCAGGACGAUCCAGUUCUUCAUACUGGAUUUGUCAGUGGGAGGGGAGGCAGAUCAGAGCAGUGGUACUGCCCAUUCCACCCUCAGCUACAUCAUGGCUUUGUGAUGGAAGAGAUCCUGCAACAAGC